GACAGAGGGUGCAAACGUUGCUCGGAAUCACUGGGCGUAAAGGGCGUGUAGGCGGGACAGUAAGUCGGGCGUGAAAUCCCUGGGCUCAACCCAGGAACUGCACUCGAAACUACUAUUCUUGAGUGUCGGAGAGGAAAGCGGAAUUCCUGGUGUAGAGGUGAAAUUCGUAGAUAUCAGGAGGAACACCAGUGGCGGAAAGGCGGCUUUCUGGACGAUAAC
rnacentral:rRNA from 1 species